rnacentral:rRNA from 1 species
UGGGGAAUAUUGCACAAUGGGCGCAAGCCUGAUGCAGCGACGCCGCGUGAGGGAUGACGGCCUUCGGGUUGUAAACCUCUUUCAGCUCCGACGAAGCGCAAGUGACGGUAGGAGCAGAAGAAGCACCGGCCAACUACGCGCCAGCAGCCGCGGUAAUACGUAGGGUGCAAGCGUUGUCCGGAAUUACUGGGCGUAAAGAGCUCGUAGGCGGUUCGUCGCGUCGUCUGUGAAAUUCUGCAGCUUAACUGCAGGCGUGCAGGAGAUACGGGCAGACUUGAGUACUACAGGGGAGACUGGAAUUCCUGGUGUAGCGGUGAAAUGCGCAGAUAUCAGGAGGAACACCGGUGGCGAAGGCGGGUCUCUGGGUAGUAACUGACGCUGAGGAGCGAAAGCGUGGGUAGCGAACAGG